GGGUUCUGUGGCUGGUGAGCGGCGGGGCAGGGAUCGUUGCCGUGUUUACCGGGAGUGCGGCAAAACGUAUCGGGAUGCGGGGCGUUUACCGGCUUUCGCAGAUUUUCAUGGCCGCCUCGCUGCUGGCUCUGGGCCGUUACUGACGCUGAGGAGCGAAAGCGUGGGGAGCGAACAGGAUUAGAUACCCUGGUAGUCCACGCCGUAAACGGUGGAUGCUGG
rnacentral:rRNA from 1 species